rnacentral:rRNA from 1 species
GUGGGGAAUAUUGGACAAUGGGCGAAAGCCUGAUCCAGCCAUGUCGCGUGUGUGAAGAAGGUCUUCGGAUUGUAAAGCACUUUAAGUUGGGAGGAAGGGCAGUAAGUUAAUACCUUGCUGUUUUGACGUUACCAACAGAAUAAGCACCGGCUAACUUCGUGCCAGCAGCCGCGGUAAUACGAAGGGUGCAAGCGUUAAUCGGAAUUACUGGGCGUAAAGCGCGCGUAGGUGGUUCAGCAAGUUGAAGGUGAAAUCCCCGGGCUCAACCUGGGAACUGCCUCCAAAACUGCAUGACUAGAGUACGGUAGAGGGUAGUGGAAUUUCCUGUGUAGCGGUGAAAUGCGUAGAUAUAGGAAGGAACACCAGUGGCGAAGGCGACUACCUGGACUGAUACUGACACUGAGGUGCGAAAGCGUGGGGAGCAAACAGGAUUAGAUACCCGGGUAGUCC